ensembl:snoRNA
AUCCUUCGGUUCUUGAAUGUGAUGAUCAGGUGUUCAUGCUGUAUGCACGAGAUGUGCCUCCCUCAAACCUUGUUAUGAUGUCAGCACAUUACCUGUCUGACA